rnacentral:lncRNA from 1 species
GAAUAUCAAUUGAAAGUAAAGUAUAUUGGAUUGAGAGAGAGAGAGAGAGAAUUUUAUUGAUGAGUGAGAGAAACGUCAUAGAGAAAGAUAUAUUUGUAUAACAAUUGAAAUAAACUUUAUUGCACCUCAAAAUUGAAGCAUUUUAUAGACAAUGUCAAGCACAACUUCACUUCAAUAUUGUGUACCAAAUCACUAGUUUUCUAAUUGGAUAAAAUAUCGAUUGAAAGUAAAGUACGUUGGAUUGAGAGAGAGAGAGAGAGAGAGAGGUUUAUUUAUGAGUGAGAGAAGGGUCUUAGAGAGAUAUAUUUGUAUAACAAUUGAAGCAUAUGUUGUAUGAUAAACUUCAUUGCAUUUCAAAAUUGAAGCAGUCUAUAGACAAUGUCAAGCACAACCUUAAUUCAUUAUUGUGUACCAAAUCAUUAGUUUCCUAAUUUUUAGAAUUUUACUUUUUAGGAUAAAAUAUCAAUUGAAUGUCAAGCACAAGCUCAACAAAUUUCCUCCUGAUUUACUUGAGAAAUGUUAUUUGCAAAAAAUUCAAGUCAAUUUAUAACAAGUUUUUUUUGUUCGCCGAUUCUAUAACUAUAUUCUCAAUGGUAAGAUAAAACCCUAUGGAUGCUAAAUAAGUAUGAAAAGUGUUCUCUUAUUCAUAGAUGCUCACAUGAAACCUAACGAAACGGAACUUGAAACAAGCUAAAUCACAAUAACCAGUACCUUGUACUGCAACUCUAAUGAGGAAAGAUUUGCUUGAUAUAGGAAUACAGAUCUCAACAAGAGGGCAGUCAAUUGGAGCACAUAUAAGCAGUAAAAUGUAUAAAUUUCAGUUAAAUUCAGCAUUUUAUUCACAAAAAAAAUAGAAAAACAAUAUCUUCAACUUAAAAAAAACAGAAUGGAAGCUCAAAAUAACCUUGUUUUAGCCAAGUGAUAGCAAACAUGCUUGACUAUGCUUAAAUUCCACUUUCUCAAUUAUAUCUCUUUGAAUAUUUGAUUCUUCAACCAUUUCCUAAACUAAAAUUCCACAACAAACUCAACAAAUUUCUUGUUGAUUUUUUAAAGAAAUGUUGUUAUUUGCAAAAAAUUUAAGUCAAUCUAUUACAAGUUUUUUUUUUUUUGUUCGUUGAUUCUAUAACUACAUUCUCAAUGGUAAGAUAAAACCCUAUGGAUGCUACAUAAGUAUGAAAAAAAUUCUUAUAUUCAUAGAUGCUCACAUGAAAACCAACAAAUGGAACUUGAAACAAGCUUAAUCACAAUAACUAGUACUGUAACUCUAAUAAGGAUAACCAGUAACUUGUACUAUAACUCUAAUAAGGAAAGAUUUGCUUAAUAUAGGAAUAAAGAUAUCAACAAGAGGGCAGUCAAUUGGAGCACAUACAAGCAGUAAAAUGCAUAAAUUCUAGUUAAAUUCAGUAUUUUGUUCACAAAAAAAAAAGAAAAAAAGGAAAGAUCUUCAACUCAAAAAAAAAAAAAUGCAAGCUCAAAAUAGCCUUUUUUUAGUCAAGUGAUAGCAAGCAAGUUUGAUAAUGCUCAAAUUCUACUUUCUCAGUUAUAUCUAUCUGAAUAUUGGAUUCUUCAACCAUUUCCUGAACUCAAAUUCUAUAAUAAACUCAACAAAUUUCCUGCUGCUUUCAUUGAGAAAUGUUGUUAUUUGCAAAAAAUUCCAAUCAAUCUAUAACAAGUUGUUUUUUUUUUUGGUUCUUAAUGGUCAGAUAAAACCCUAUGCUUGAUAUCGAAAAAUAAAAAGUAAGCUUAAUCUAAACCUAUGGCAAAAAGGAAAGCAAUACUACAAUUUUUUUUCUUUCUUUUCUUUACGACCAACAAAAGAACUAUCAAUGAAUAAAAAAAAUAAGCUAACCAUGAAUCAAAUUUAAGCAAUCUCAUUUUCAGAUGAUAGCAGUCACAAAAAAGACACAAAGAAAAAGGGGACACCAAAUGUAAAGCAAUUUCAACAAAAAGAAAAAGUAAAGCAAUUUCAAUAAAUAAUGGGAACAAAGGAAACCAUUAGGUGAAAAACAAAUUCAGGAAUGAAAACAAGCAAGAUAGUAAGCAAUAGCAAUUAAACUUCACAGGUUUUCAGAAAACUAAGAAAGAAAGAAACUCAUUAAUCUACCAUCUUCAAAAAAAACAACUGUGAUUUAUACAUAACCCAUUAUGUAAAGGAAGAAGAGAUCCACAUAAAAGAAGAGUAUUAAUACCAUUCAAUCUUUUAAUUGUGUUAGGUGAAGAUGUUUAUUUCCAAAAAGCUUGAAAAAAAAAGAAGCAAGAUUAGCACUAUAUCAUAUACAAAAUGCUAAAAAAAGCCAAAUACAAAAUAACCAAAACUAAUAAGAAAAUAAAAAUAUUGGUAAUUCAUGCAUUUCUUGUUUGCAUAAAAAGAUAUAAACAAACCCACAUGAUAACUGUAAAUCAGAGAAAAAAUAUAUCAGAUUUCAUGAUCCCAUAAGCAUUACUUAUUAAAAAAAAGAAAGGUAGCAAAAAGAGCAUGAUAGCUACAACAUUCAUAAUUGGAGCUAAGUAAAACUAAAAAAAUAAUAAUAUUCCCAUAUUUAUCUACUGAGGGAAAAAUACUCGACGCAUUGAGAAACUCCUGUUGCAUUUUAUUCACAAAAAAGAAAAAGGGGACACCAAAUGGUUAUGAUUGUCACCUAUGCAUUAGAAGAAACCAAAUGAAAAAAAGAUUUGGAAAAUAAGAGAAUUGUGAAAUUUACCUGGAGUGGAGAGAGGAAGGCUUAGAGUGGAGAGAGGAAGGCUUAAAGGGACGGAUAAGGGACAAGGUUUCUACAUAGAACUGUUUACCAGAAAAACAACCAAAUUAUUUUUUCCCUACAGAGAAUAAUUUAUCACAAAACAAUAUUGAGAGAAAACCCUAAAUCCAUUUUCACCAUGUUCAGAACCUAGAGAAAAAAUCAGAGCGAUAAAAGAAAAACCAUGGGAUAGAGAAAAAACCAGAGAGAAAAAAAAUUAGGGGAGAGACAAAAAACCAGAGAGAGGAAAAACUGAGAUGUAUCUUUGUUAGGAGGCACGUAGGCGCAAAGAGAAGGCGCGAGAUGGUCUCUUAUCUGUGGUUAGGGCAGUCGAGGGCAAGCAAAUACCCUCUGUAGAAGACGCCUUCUGUAGAGAGAAUGGACCAAGGGAGAGAGAGAGAGAGGGGCGAAGGGAGAAGAGCGUGUGAGAGAGCUUCGUUACAUAAACAAAGCUUAUACAGAGGAUAAGAGAGAGAGAGAGGGGAGAAGGGAGAAGAGCGGUUGAGAGAGCAUCAGUAUAUAAACAAAGCUUAUGCAGAGAAGAGGAGAGAGAGAGAGCUUUGUCCUCCAGUAUGUGCAUAAAGAAGAGAGAUAGAGAGAGGAGAAAGAGCUUUAUGAGAGGAACCAAGAGUAGAGAGAGAUAAAGAAUAGAGAGCUUUAAUCGAGAAGAAGAGAGCUUUGUCAGGAAGUGAGGGUCUUUAUUAGAGAGAGAGAAGAGAGAGCUUGAUCAGAGAGAGCAGGCUUCAUCUUAGAGAGGAACAUGCUUCGUUAGCGAGGGUCUUCACACGAGGAACUUCCGCAUUGAAGUUCUCAA